UAUAUUUUAGUAUAAAUGUACGAAGAUUUUUGAAAUCUUAAGAAAUAAUUAGUUUUAUUAAAUAUAA
rnacentral:tRNA from 1 species